rnacentral:rRNA from 1 species
AGAGUUUGAUCUGGCUCAGAGCGAACGCUGGCGGCGUGCUUAGGCAUGCAAGUCGAGCGAGAAAGGGGGGGCAACCCCCCGAGUAAAGCGGCGAAAGGGUGAGUACAGCAUCGACAACCUGCCCCCAGGACUCGGGAUAACGGCUGGAAACGGCCGCUAAUACCGGAUGGCCCCGCGAGGAGGCAUCUCCUUGCGGGUAAAGGUGGGGACCUUCGGGCCUUCCACCUGGGGAGGGGUCGAUGUCCUAUCAGCUAGUUGGCGGGGUGACGGCCCACCAAGGCGACGACGGGUAGCCGGACUGAGAGGUCGACCGGUCACACUGGGACUGAGACACUGCCCAGACUCCUACGGGAGGCUGCAGUCGCGAAUCUUCCGCAAUGGGCGAAAGCCUGACGGAGCGACGCCGCGUGUGGGAUGAAGGCCUUCGGGUUGUAAACCACUGUCACGCGUUAGGAACACCGGGGCGAUAACAUCAAUCCGGAUGACAAAGGCGCGAGAGGAAGCCACGGCUAACUCUGUGCCAGCAGCCGCGGUAAGACAGAGGUGGCAAGCGUUGCUCGGAGUUACUGGGCAUAAAGGGCGCGUAGGCGGUCGUGCACGUCGGUGGUGAAAUCUCCGGGCUCAACCCGGAAACUGCCGUCGAUACGGUGCGACUCGAGUGCGGGAGGGGAGAGUGGAACUCCUGGUGGAGCGGUGAAAUGCGUAGAUAUCAGGAGGAACGCCGGUGGCGAAAGCGGCUCUCUGGUCCGCAACUGACGCUGAGGCGCGAAAGCUAGGGGAGCAAACGGGAUUAGAUACCCCGGUAGUCCUAGCCCUAAACGAUGAGCACUAGGUAGUGGCGGGUCCGACUCGUCACUGCUGAAGCUAAUGUAAUAAGUGCUCCGCCUGGGGAGUAUGGUCGCAAGGCUAAAACUCAAAGGAAUGACGG